GAUGAACGCUGGCGGCGUGCCUAAUACAUGCAAGUCGAGCGAAUGGAUUAAGAGCUUGCUCUUAUGAAGUUAGCGGCGGACGGGUGAGUAACACGUGGGUAACCUGCCCAUAAGACUGGGACAACUCCGGGAAACCGGGGCUAAUACCGGAUAACAUUUUGAACCGCAUGGUUCGAAAUUGAAAGGCGGCUUCGGCUGUCACUUAUGGAUGGACCCGCGUCGCAUUAGCUAGUUGGUGAGGUAACGGCUCACCAAGGCAACGAUGCGUAGCCGACCUGAGAGGGUGAUCGGCCACACUGGGACUGGGACACGGCCCAGACUCCUACGGGAGGCAGCAGUAGGGAAUCUUCCGCAAUGGACGAAAGUCUGACGGAGCAACGCCGCGUGAGUGAUGAAGGCUUUCGGGUCGUAAAACUCUGUUGUUAGGGAAGAACAAGUGCUAGUUGAAUAAGCUGGCACCCUGACGGUACCUAACCAGAAAGCCACGGCUAACUACGUGCCAGCAGCCGCGGUAA
rnacentral:rRNA from 1 species